CCUACCGGAUCUCCUUGCUUCAAACCAGGGUCCAGCCAGGGUUAGCUAGCUUCUUAGCGAGUGAGAGAGUUGGGGAAGGCCCUGUUGCUGCCUUUAACUUAACGAAAAGUAUAGAAAUUGAUCUACCAUAGCCCCAACCUGGCCAAAGGAGGAACAGAAUGUCGCUGUCGUUCUGUAAGCAGCUGUAUUUCUCUGACCCAAUGUGAAGGGAGUCACAGGAAGUGCAGGGACACCAGGAACUCACUGAAUGAAUAGCAGACUGCCCUCCCUCUGAUCAACAAUGGGACUGAAUUGUACCCAACCGAACAGAGCUGAGAAGUCAAGUCCUGGGGAGGAAGCCCUCGCCUGGGAGAUGUCUUAGCAGCAAAGAGGUUAGGAUUGAUCAGAAGUCACCGGGGCCUCUCUCUGUGUGACUCUCUCUCUCGUCUCUUACAGCCAGAUCUCUCUCCUGAAUGGAAGACCAACCCACCCUGCUCAUGCUCCUCCCUGGCUGGGAGUGAAAACUGCCACCCGGAGAGAGAAAAAGAAAAGGAAAGAGAGAGAGAGAUGCCAUCUUGCUCUCUGUGGACUGAAGCCUUCACAGCCUGCUGUCCCCACCUGCCCAUCCCCCACCCCCAGGCUUCGCCCAGUCUGUUAGCUCUUUGGGAAGAAUAAAAAG